AGUGAACGCUGGCGGUAGGCCUAACACAUGCAAGUCGAACGGCAGCACAGUAAGAGCUUGCUCUUACGGGUGGCGAGUGGCGGACGGGUGAGGAAUACAUCGGAAUCUACUUUUUCGUGGGGGAUAACGUAGGGAAACUUACGCUAAUACCGCAUACGACCUACGGGUGAAAGCAGGGGAUCUUCGGACCUUGCGCGAUUGAAUGAGCCGAUGUCGGAUUAGCUAGUUGGCGGGGUAAAGGCCCACCAAGGCGACGAUCCGUAGCUGGUCUGAGAGGAUGAUCAGCCACACUGGAAGUGAGACACGGUCCAGACUCCUACGGGAGGCAGCAGUGGGGAAUAUUGGACAAUGGGCGCAAGCCUGAUCCAGCCAUACCGCGUGGGUGAAGAAGGCCUUCGGGUUGUAAAGCCCUUUUGUUGGGAAAGAAAAGCAGCAGGUUAAUACCCCGCUGUUCUGAGGGUACCCAAAGAAUAAGCACCGGCUAACUUCGUG
rnacentral:rRNA from 1 species